GACCGCGUAGCUCAGUUGGCAGAGCAUUGGGCUAGUAGUAUUCCAAAGGUCGUAGGUUCGAUUCCCACCGUGGCCA
rnacentral:tRNA from 1 species